UCAGUGACAAAGAUGAAGUUCUACCUUGCCAUCCUUUUCGUAGCUGCCUGUCAGGCUUUCUCAAUCACAUCUAUGAUUGAGAAAGAAGCAUUCGACCUCCUUAUCAAAGAAGCUACACAGGAACUGGAGCAACUUGCCGGGACAGAAAUCGAGAGAACUCUGACCGCUGAGGGCAUUCACAUUACACCAUCUGAAUUGAGUUUGAUCCAAAAACGA
rnacentral:lncRNA from 1 species